CACGUAGGGGCCAAGCGUUGUCCGGAUUCAUUGGGCGUAAAGAACUCGUAGGCGGUUCAGUUAGUCGGGUGUGAAAUCUCCGGGCUCAACCCGGAGGGGCCACCCGAUACUGCUGUGACUUGAGUCCGGUAGGGGAGUGGGGAAUUCCUGGUGUAGCGGUGAAAUGCGCAGAUAUCAGGAGGAACACCGGUGGCGAAGGCGCCACUCUGGGCCGGUACUGACGCUGAGGAGCGAAAGCGUGGGUAGCAAACAGG
rnacentral:rRNA from 1 species